rnacentral:rRNA from 1 species
CGAUGUCGGCUCAUCGCAUCCUGGAGCUGGAUUAGGUUCCAAGGGUUGGGCUGUUCGCCCAUUAAAGCGGUACGCGAGCUGGGUUCAGAACGUCGUGAGACAGUUCGGUCCCUAUCUGUCGCAGGCGGAGGAUAUUUGAGAGGAGCUGUUCCUAGUACGAGAGGACCGGAAUGGACGCACCUCUGGUGCACCAGUUGUCGUGCCAACGGCACAGCUGGGUAGCUAAGUGCGGAAGGGAUAAACGCUGAAGGCAUCUAAGCGUGAAGCCCCCCUCAAGAUAAGAUAUCCCACACCAUAAGGUGGUAAGGUCCCAUAUAGACUAUGUGGUUGAUAGGUCACGAGUGUAAGUGUGGUAACAUAUUAAGCUGAGUGAUACUAAUAGACCGAGGGCUUGACCAAGAA